rnacentral:rRNA from 1 species
AUACGGGGGGUGCAAGCGUUAUCCGGAAUCAUUGGGUUUAAAGGGUCCGCAGGCGGACUAAUAAGUCAGUGGUGAAAUCCUCUCGCUUAACGAGAGAACUGCCAUUGAAACUGUUAGUCUUGAAUUCGGUCGAAGUAGGCGGAAUGUGUCAUGUAGCGGUGAAAUGCAUAGAUAUGACACAGAACACCGAUAGCGAAGGCAGCUUACUAGACCUGGAUUGACGCUCAUGGACGAAAGCGUGGGGAGCGAACAGGAUUAGAAACCCUAGUAGUCC